rfam:Sphaerulina musiva SO2202 unplaced genomic scaffold SEPMTscaffold_8, whole genome shotgun sequence.
GGACCUGUGGCGCAGCGGUAGCGCGUCUGAUUCCAGCUCUUGGAACAUCCAGAAGGUCAUCCGUUCAAAUCGGGUCAGGUUCA